rnacentral:lncRNA from 1 species
CAAAGUCGAUCCGCCGUUACUUAGUAACAUCAUCGUGUUCCUCCCGGCGAUCCCCCUGAGGUACAUCCGAUACUCGAUACAAGUCCGAACCUGCAACUUAGCUCAGCAAGCAUAAAUAUUGAUUGAUAGCUUUGAAUCCGCUGACACAGUCUCAAUCAAAUUUGGGAACAACAUUACGAGAUUGCCUUUAAGUGAAAGGGAUCGAAAGAGAGGAAGAUCUUCAUCUUUGUGAGAGAGAUGCUUUUUCCAAUAUUAAUCAACAAUGCUACGAGGUUGCCUAUAAGUGAAAGGGAUCGAAAGAGAAAAAUGUCUUCGUCUCGGAGAGAGGUAGGUUUUCCAACUUAGCUCAGCAACCCAAAGCCUAGAAGCUUAAUGCAACAUCACUCGGCUCGACAUAGCCGGGAUUCUCUUUUCG